UCUAUUUAUUUAUUUAUUUUUAUUUCAGCUCAUGAAACGUCGAACAUAGAAUUUACAUGAUGCAUUUAUAUUUUUGUUCAGUGUAAAUACAUUUUCAUAGAAGCUGUUGUCAUUAAAAUUGUCAUUAACCCAUAAGAGUCAUUAACCCAUAAUGGGGAGGGUUACUACUAAGCUAUAUGGAAAAUACAUUUUGGCCUUACUGCUAUCUAGGGUCGGCUGUUCUCUGUCCUCUAUGUCUACAUUUGUUAUGGUAAAGGUUAUUUUUUAAUUUACAUAUUAAAUACAUUUUAGGUCCAGUGUUCUGUUCAUUCUCCAAAUUCUGUCACUAAGUCUAUUUUCUGUAAGUGGAAUUAACCCCCCACACUUUUUUCAAUUUCCACAUGAUACAGGAGAAUGAUCCGAUAUCACUAUAUCAUGAAUUUUAUUGAUUGAUUGACAACACUUGAUAUAUAAAUGGUCAGUCUGGUUGUAUACCAUGAAUGGACUUUUCAGCCAGGAAAGACAUCAGAAUUUUAACUGUCAAUUGUCAUCCGGGACACGCUGUAGUGCAAAUCAAACACACCCUGGAAAGACGGUAUCUGCAGCUCAUUGAAUAGAAGCCCUUAGGGCAGAAACUAAGGUGUUGGGCAGAAACCACUAUAGUUGAAUAGGGGACUAAGGUGUUGGGCAGAAACCACUAUAGUUGAAUAGGGGACUAAGGUGUUGGGCAGAAACAACUCUAGUUGAAUAGGGGACUAAGGUGUUAGGGCAGAAGCCACUCUAGUUGAAUAGGGGACUAUGGUUUUAGGGCAGAAGCUACUCUAGUUGAAUAGGGGACUAAGGUUUUAGUGCAGAAACCACUAUAGUUGAAUAGGGGACUAAGGUUUUAGGGCAGAAACCACUAUAGUUGAAUAGGGGACUAAGGUUUUAGGGCAGAAACCACUAUAGUUGAAUAGGGGACUAAGGUUUUAGGGCAGAAGCCACUCUAGUUGAAUAGGGGACUAAGGUUUUAGGGCAGAAGCCACUCUAGUUGAAUAGGGGACUAAGAUUUUAGGGCAGAAGCCACUCUAGUUGAAUAGGGGACUAAGGUUUUAGGGUAGAAGCCACUAUAGUUGAAUAGGGGACUAAGGUGUUGGGCAGAAACCACUAUAGUUGAAUAGGGGACUAAGGUUUUAGUGCAGAAACCACUAUAGUUGAAUAGGGGACUAAGGUGUUGGGCAGAAACCACUAUAGUUGAAUAUGGGACUAAGGUGUUUGGGCAGAAACUACUAUAGUUGAAUAGGGGACUAAGGUGUUGGGCAGAAACCACUAUAGUUGAAUAGGGUACUAAGGUGUUAGGGCAGAAACCACUAUAGUUGAAUAGGGGACUAAGGUGUUGGGCAGAAACCACUAUAGUUGAAUAGGGGACUAAGGUGUUUGGGCAGAAACUACUAUAGUUGAAUAGGGGACUAAGGUGUUGGGCAGAAGCCACUAGUUGAAUAGGGUACUAAGGUGUUAGGGCAGAACCUACUAUAGUUGAAUAGGGGACUAAGGUGUUUGGGCAGAAACUACUAUAGUUGAAUAGGGGACUAAGGUGUUGGGCAGAAGCCACUCUAGUUGAAUAGGGUACUAAGGUGUUAGGGCAGA